GACGAACGCUGGCGGCAGGCUUAACACAUGCAAGUCGAACGCCCCGCAAGGGGAGUGGCAGACGGGUGAGUAACGCGUGGGAACGUGCCCUUCGCUUCGGAAUAUUCCCGGGCAACUGGGAGCAAUGCCGGAUACGCCGAAUUGGGAAAGAUUUAUCGGCGAAGGAUCGGCCGGCGUUAGAUUAGGUAGUUGGUGGGGUAAUGGCCUACCAAGCAUACGAUCUAUAGCUGGUCUGAGAGGAUGAUCAGCCACACUGGGACUGAGACCCGGCCCAGAGUCCUACGGGAGGCAGCAGUGGGGAAAAUUGGACAAUGGGCGCAAGCCUGAUCCAGCCAUGCCGCGUGAGUUAUGAAGGCCUUCGGGUUGUAAAGCUCUUUCGCACACGACGAUGAUGACGGUAGUGUGAGAAGAAGCCCCGGCUAACUUCGUGCCAGCCGCCGCAGUAAUAC
rnacentral:rRNA from 1 species